GACGAACGCCGGCGGCGUGCCUAAUACAUGCAAGUCGAGCGCAGGAAACUGACGGAACUCUUCGGAGGGAAGGCAGUGGAAUGAGCGGCGGACGGGUGAGUAACACGUAAGGAACCUGCCUCAAGGAUUGGGAUAACUCCGAGAAAUCGGAGCUAAUACCGGAUAGUUCAACGGACCGCAUGGUCCGCUGAUGAAAGGCGCUCCGGCGUCACCUUGAGAUGGCCUUGCGGUGCAUUAGCUAGUUGGUGGGGUAACGGCCCACCAAGGCGACGAUGCAUAGCCGACCUGAGAGGGUGAUCGGCCACACUGGGACUGAGACACGGCCCAGACUCCUACGGGAGGCAGCAGUAGGGAAUCUUCCACAAUGGACGAAAGUCUGAUGGAGCAACGCCGCGUGAGUGAUGAAGGUUUUCGGAUCGUAAACCUCUGUUGUAAGGGAAGAACACGUACGAGAGGAAAUGCUCGUACCUUGACGGUACCUUACGAGAAAGCCACGGCUAACUACGUGCCAGCAGCCGCCGUAAUAC
rnacentral:rRNA from 1 species